rnacentral:miRNA from 1 species
AGAGGAUUUUGAGAGAGAGAGAGAGAGAGAGAGAAGUGAGGGGGAAGUAGGGAUGUUAACGAGUCGAGUCGAGCCAACUCGCGAGCUGAAACUUGAUGCUUGAGCUCGACUAGGUUAUUAUUGUCGAGCUUUUUUCAGAGCCGAGCAAAAGCUCAUCCAAGGCUCGACCCUAGCUUUUGGCUCGGGCCUUUCAGAGCCGAGCCGGGUCGGUCCAUUUCUCUCUCUCUCUCUCUCUCUCUCUCUCUCUCUCUCUCUUCUUCUUCUUUUUU